GCGAGUGAGGCGCAACUGGCUGCGCACCGGUCUUCCAAACCGGAGGUAAUGGGUUCAAGUCCCGUCACUCGCU
rnacentral:tRNA from 1 species